rnacentral:rRNA from 1 species
GGCUCAGGAUGAACGCUAGCUACAGGCUUAACACAUGCAAGUCGAGGGGAAACGAUAGAGAAAGCUUGCUUUUUCUAGGCGUCGACCGGCGCACGGGUGAGUAACGCGUAUCCAACCUGCCCACCACUUGGGAAUAACCUUGCGAAAGUAAGACUAAUACCCAAUGAUAUCUCUAGAAGACAUCUGAAAGAGAUUAAAGAUUUAUCGGUGAUGGAUGGGGAUGCGUCUGAUUAGCUUGUUGGCGGGGUAACGGCCCACCAAGGCGACGAUCAGUAGGGGUUCUGAGAGGAAGGUCCCCCACAUUGGAACUGAGACACGGUCCAAACUCCUACGGGAGGCAGCAGUGAGGAAUAUUGGUCAAUGGGCGAGAGCCUGAACCAGCCAAGUAGCGUGCAGGAUGACGGCCCUAUGGGUUGUAAACUGCUUUUAUAAGGGAAUAAAGUGAGUCUCGUGAGGCUUUUUGCAUGUACCUUAUGAAUAAGGACCGGCUAAUUCCGUGCCAGCAGCCGCGGUAAUACGGAAGGUCCGGGCGUUAUCCGGAUUUAUUGGGUUUAAAGGGAGCGUAGGCCGGAGAUUAAGCGUGUUGUGAAAUGUAGAUGCUCAACAUCUGCACUGCAGCGCGAACUGGUUUCCUUGAGUACGCACAAAGUGGGCGGAAUUCGUGGUGUAGCGGUGAAAUGCUUAGAUAUCACGAAGAACUCCGAUUGCGAAGGCAGCUCACUGGAGCGCAACUGACGCUGAAGCUCGAAAGUGCGGGUAUCGAACAGGAUUAGAUACCCUGGUAGUCCGCACGGUAAACGAUGGAUGCCCGCUGUUGGUCUGAAUAGGUCAGCGGCCAAGCGAAAGCAUUAAGCAUCCCACCUGGGGAGUACGCCGGCAACGGUGCAACUGAAAGGAAUUGACGGA